AAUGCCAAAGUUUGUUGCUUUAGA
rnacentral:siRNA from 1 species